GUCUUUUUGAAAUUAAUUUAAAGUCUAACCUGCCCACUGAAGAUUUAAAUGGCCGCAGUAUUCUAACUGUGCAAAGGUAGCAUAAUCAUUAGUCUUUUAAUUGAAGGCUGGAAUGAAUGGUUGGACGAAAUAUUAACUGUUUCAUUUGAAUUUUUUAUAGAAUUUUAUUUUUUAGUCAAAAAGCUAAAAUUUAUUUAAAAGACGAGAAGACCCUAUAAAUCUUUAUAUUUUGUUUAUUUUAAUUAUAAAGAUUAUUUUUAUUAUAAUAAAUUAAAAUAUUUUAUUGGGGUGAUAUUAAAAUUUAAAAAACUUUUAAUUUUUAAAACCAUUAAUAUAUGAAUAAUUGAUCCAUUAAUAAUGAUUAAAAAUUUAAGUUACUUUAGGGAUAACAGCGUAAUUUUUUUGGAGAGUUCAUAUCGAUAAAAAAGAUUGCGACCUCGAUGUUGGAUUAAGAUAUAAUUUUGGGUGUAGCCGUUCAAAUUUUAAGUCUGUUCGACUUUUAAAUUCUU
rnacentral:rRNA from 1 species